rnacentral:hammerhead_ribozyme from 1 species
AAGCGAAACCAUCCCCGGCCUGGCCGGGGGUGGUCUGCCCGCCGUGGUGGCCGGGUACUGACGAGCAGCCGAGG